rnacentral:rRNA from 1 species
AGGACGAACGCUGGCGGCGUGCUUAACACAUGCAAGUCACGGGGGUCCCAGGGGCAACUUUGGGAUAACCGGCGAACGGGUGCGUAACACGUGAACAACCUGCCCUCGUGUGGGGGAUAGCCAUGCUAACGCGUGGGUAAUACCGCAUACGUUCCUUUGGGGGAGUCCCUGGGGGAGGAAAGCUCCGGCGCACGGGGAGGGGUUCGCGGCCUAUCAGCUAGUUGGCGGGGUAAUGGCCCACCAAGGCGACGACGGGUAGC